rnacentral:lncRNA from 1 species
GAGGAGUCUGCUCUCUGAACCCUCCCUAUGAAAUUUCCACCCUGCGAAAUUUCCUCCUGCUAGGACGGGUCCACCCACCGGGAGUGUCCUACCAUUUCCUCUCCGACAGCGCGAAUUGUCUGAGUGUUCUGAACUGAACGAAUCAAGAUACGUAAAAGAGUAUGGAAGGAUGCUGAGUCAAUGCUCCCAUUUUAUGGAUGUGAACAUGAAGGCCUGAGGGAGGGAAGUACUGGGAAUCAGGUGAUCUGGCUCUGAUCAAUUGUAUAAACUCCAAGAAUUGUGGCCUCGCCCAACCCAGGGGGCCUACCUCCAAGCUCCCUUUGCUGCCCUUCAGCCACACCUGGCAGAUCAGAGUGACAUGUCUCUGUUGCUUUGGAAUAUUAAUUAAAGAAAGAAAGAGCAAGAGCGAGCAGGAGGGCAGGUGACAGCAAGAGAAAGAGAAAGAACCCGUGGAGAGGAAGUUUCAGUGAAGACGGAAAGGCUUGAAACAUACCAUGGAGAAUGACCUCCGUCUUCAGUUCACAGGAUUUGAGCUUUGAGGUAAGGAAGGACAGGAACUUUGGG